GAUGAAUGCUGGCGGCGUGCCUAACACAUGCAAGUCGAGCGGCAGCGCGGAGAGUUUACUCUCUGGCGGCGAGCGGCGGACGGCUGAGUAACGCGUGGGAACGUGCCCCAAAGUGAGGAAUAACUGCCCGAAAGGGUGGCUAAUGCCGCAUAUGAUCUUCGGAUUAAAGGAUUUAUCCGCUUUGGGAGCGGCCCGCGUCGGAUUAGGUUGUUGGUGAGGUAAUGGCUCACCAAGCCGACGAUCCGUAGCUGGUCUGAGAGGAUGAUCAGCCAGACUGGGACUGAGACACGGCCCAGACUCCUACGGGAGGCAGCAGUGAGGAAUCUUCCACAAUGGGCGAAAGCCUGAUGGAGCAACGCCGCGUGAAGGAUGAAGGCCCUCGGGUUGUAAACUUCUUUUAUAAGUGAAGAAUAUGACGGUAACUUAUGAAUAAGCACCGGCUAACUACGUGCCAGCCGCCGCCGUAA
rnacentral:rRNA from 1 species